rnacentral:rRNA from 1 species
CCUACGGGAGGCAGCAGUGGGGGAUAUUGGGCAAUGGACGCAAGCCUGACCCAGCAACGCCGCGUGGGCGAAGAAGGCUUUCGGUUUGUAAACCUCUAUUGGCAGGGAAGAAUAAAUGACGGUACCUGUGUAAGAAGCCCCGGCUAAAUACGUGCCAGCAGCCGCGGUAAUACGUAGGGUGCAAGCGUUGUCCGGAUUUACUGGGUGUAAAGGGCGGGCAGCCGGGUUGGCAAGUCUGAUGUGAAAUCCUGCGGCUCAACCGCGGAACUGCAUUGGGAACUGGCGAGCUUGAGUGCUGGAGAGGAAGGCGGAAUUCCUAGUGUAGCGGUGAAAUGCGUAGAUAUUAGGAGGAACACCAGUGGCGAAGGCGGCCUGCUGGACAGUGACUGACGGUGAGGCUCGAAAGCGUGGGGAGCAAACAGGAUUAGAUACCCCUGUAGUC